rfam:Scytonema hofmannii PCC 7110 genomic scaffold Scaffold1, whole genome shotgun sequence.
GGAGAGGUGGCCGAGCGGUUCAAGGCGCAGCACUGGAAAUGCUGUUUGGGGCAACUCAACGUGGGUUCGAAUCCCACCCUCUCCG